AAGGAGAACAGUUUAGAACUGAUAGAGCUAUAAAGUAUACGUUUAGUUUUGGUUUUCUCCUGUAGUGACCCUGUAGAUGAUCCUUACUGGAGGAAACUUAAACUAAACUAACUUCAUUUUUACUGGAUAGCUCUAUCAGUUCUAAACUGUUCUUCCU
rnacentral:miRNA from 1 species